rnacentral:misc_RNA from 1 species
CCUAGAGUUGCGGGCUUUGCCUGCCAUCUCUUACCCAUGUCUUUUGAGUACCUUCGUUUCCUCGGCGGGUCCGCCCGCCGACUGGACAAAACUUAAACCCUUUGUAAUUGAAAUCAGCGUCUGAAAAAACUUAAUAGUUA